CGGUUCGCGGUUUAGAAAUUAAACGACACGUACCGGAAUCGUCGUUUCAAAUUCCAUUCAUACUACUAAGUAAUUUGAAUUAUUCCCCCGUAACAAUUCUUCCCAUACUAACCUAAAUACAAAAAAAAAACAAAAAAAACAAGAAGCACGAAAAUUACGCAUGUCAUUUGUAACAAUUUCUAUCUAUAGCCUGUUAUCUUUGAUGAGUUGCCAUCACGAAGAAAAAGUUUACUGUGUGAUAAUAACAACAUAUGUUCUGUUUAAAUUUAAGUCACCAUUAUAAACAACCAAGAAGUGAAUCACCAAAAACAGAUGUUUGUAAACAACUUUUAAAUAUCAGUCACUGACUGGAUGAUCAGAAUAAGUGCGUGUUUUUUAAACUUGAAAAUAUCUUUACUAAUUUUAUAUUUUAUUAGAGGUGAACUAAAACAAGAUUUUAAGAGCUUUUGGAGAAUAAAAUAAUUUUAUCCUUAACUUAACCAUACAACUUUUCGUAGAAAACACAAUCGAACUAUAUCUCUCGGAAGGUUAAUACUUUGAGGUCAAGCAAUUUGAUCGUAAACAAAGAAAAAUCCGGCAUUGGCUCUGUUGAUUAAUAAUAUUAUUAAGAAUGAAAUUUCACGAUGUUCAACGUGUGGAUAUAGACAAUUCAUUUAAUUCAAAGGAAGUGGAAUCUUUAAGUCACAGAAUUAGCGAAAAACUGACAUUUAGAUGUAGGAGACAUCAUCCUGUGAAAAUAAUCAGCCGACGAACACGUGCUUGUAAUGGAUUGCACACACUCUUGCCGGUGAAAUGUUCUAGAUGUUUUUCUAGAAAUUGUUCUUGUUCGAAUGAAGAAAAACAGACUUAUCAAGCGAAAAUUAUGGACUCCUCUAAAACAUUAGAAAAAUUAUUACGGGAACAAACUUUAAUACAGGAAGCUGUUAGGCGGCUCCAAUUCAAAUCUUUAUUAAAAUCUAAAAGUGUGGAUCAUUAUAAGUCUGAAGAUGGAAACAGUGAAUGUUUGAGUCAUUAUACUAGUUAUGAUAGUGAUUCAGACCUGGACUAAGUUUGGCAGUCCAUUUGGUAUAAAAAAAAACGCAGAACAAUUUGCAAUCUGGUUUUUACCGGCCUCCUACCAUGAUGAGCAGCUUCCUGGAAAAGGAUUUUAAUAAGUUUGAUUUAUAAACUUUAUACUUGACUAUUUGAUAUAAUUUCUAGACUUUUGUUACUAUGAUACAAUUUGAUAUAUUUUCUUGACUUCCCGGUUUAUUAUGACAUUUUGUAUUCAGUUUGAGAAAUCGAAACUGAAAGAGUAACGAGUUCAACCGUUUGUUGCAGACUCACACUUCUAAUCUUUAUUAAAUAUAUUGAAUUUAAUUAGUACUGCGUAAUAAAAAUGGAAAUAAAAUAAUACAGCAUAUGAAAAACUUUCCAACUAAAUGUAUAAAUAGCAUGCUGUGUCAUGUUUACAUAUAACACUUGUUUGUUUACAACUCUAAGGCGUAUGAAUAUAUCGGUCAGACGGUGGAAUGUUAGUUCACCAGACAAUAUUUCCGGGUCAUUGUUCUGUUAUUAUUGAUCUCGACGUGUAACGAAUGAACUCAGGUGUACAAUUAUUUAGAACAAGAGCUAUGAUUGUAUUAUAUACCUCUAGAAAUAAAUAUGUCUUUCAUAA